GACGAACCGUGCGAACGUUGUUCGGAAUCACUGGGCUUAAAGGGCGCGUAGGCGGGGUGGACAGUCUAUGGUGAAAUCCUCCGGCUCAACCGGAGAACUGCCGUGGAUACUGCCACUCUCGAGGGGUGUAGGGGCAUGCGGAACUUCGGGUGGAGCGGUGAAAUGCGUAGAUAUCCGAAGGAACGCCGGUGGCGAAAGCGGCGUGCUGGACACCUUCUGACGCUGAGGCGCGAAAGCCAGGGGAGCAAACGGG
rnacentral:rRNA from 1 species